UACGGAGGCCCCGAGCGUUGUUCGGAUUUAUUGGGCGUAAAGGGAGCGUAGGCGGCGUGGUAAGUCUGGUGUGAAAGGCGUGGGCUCAACCUGCGGACUGCAUUGGAUACUGCCAUGCUAGAGGACUGGAGAGGAGAAUGGAAUUCACGGUGGAGCAGUGAAAUGCGUAGAUAUCGUGAGGAAGGCCAGUGGCGAAGGCGAUUCUCUGGACAGUACCUGACGCUGAGGCUCGAAGGCUGGGGGAGCGAACAGG
rnacentral:rRNA from 1 species